CACCAAUUGAAUUGAAAAUGACAGUAAAAUAGAAAAAUGGGAAGAUUUCUAAACUUCAAGUCCUUUCUUGAUAUUUGAUGGAUGAAACAAAAGUGCGGCCAACCUGCAAUAAGUAUAUAUAAGCAACGUACAUUAGUUUUGAAUUAGAAAUGGAAUUAAUAGAAAGCGAACUCAAAGAGA